CCUACGGGUGGCAGCAGUGGGGGAUAUUGCACAAUGGGGGCAACCCUGAUGCAGCGACGCCGCGUGAGCGAUGGAGUACUUCGGUAUGUAAAGCUCUGUCAGCAGGGAAGAGAAUGACGGUACCUGACCAAGAAGCCCCGGCUAAAUACGUGCCAGCAGCCGCGGUAAUACGUAUGGGGCAAGCGUUAUCCGGAUUUACUGGGUGUAAAGGGAGCGUAGGCGGCAGGGCAAGCCUGAUGUGAAAGCCCGGGGCUCAACCCCGGGACUGCAUUGGGAACUGCCCCGCUCGAGUGCCGGAGGGGCAGGCGGAAUUCGUCGUGUAGCGGUGAAAUGCUUAGAUAUGACGAAGAACCCCGAUUGCGAAGGCAGCUUGCUGCAGCGGAACUGACGCUGAUGCUCGAAAGCGCGGGUAUCGAACAGGAUUAGAUACCCCUGUAGUC
rnacentral:rRNA from 1 species